rnacentral:rRNA from 1 species
AAGCGCAUCUGGUGGAUGCCUUGGCGGCAACAGGCGAUGAAAGACGUAGUAGCCUGCGAUAAGCCUCGGGGAGCUGGCAAACAAGCUUUGAUCCGAGGAUUUCUGAAUGGGGCAACCCACGGCUUAGGCCGUAUCCCGCAAGGGAGGCUAACGCAGGGAACUGAAACAUCUAAGUACCUGCAGGAAAAGAAAUCAACCGAGAUUCCCCUAGUAGUGGCGAGCGAACGGGGAGUAGCCCUUAAGUUUUGUGCGGUUUAGUGGAACAGUCUGGAAAGUCUGGUCAUAGCGGGUGAUAGCCCCGUACACGAAAAACUGCAUGAGAUGAAAUCGAGUAAGGCGAGGCACGUGAAACCUUGUCUGAAUAUGGGGGGACCAUCCUCCAAGGCUAA